GCAGUCAGAGGCGAUGAAGGACGUGGUGAUCUGCGAUAAGCGCCGGUAAGGUGAUAUGAACCGUUAUAACCGGCGAUUUCCGAAUGAGGAUACCCAGUGUGAUUCGUCACACUAUCAUUAACUGAAUCCAUAGGUUAAUGAGGCGAACCGGGGGAACUGAAACAUCUAAGUACCCCGAGGAAAAGAAAUCAACCGAGAUUCCCCCAGUAGCGGCGAGCGAACGGGGAGGAGCCCAGAGCCUGAAUCAGCAUGUGUGUUAGUGGAAGCGUCUGGAAAGGCGCGCGAUACAGGGUGACAGCCCCGUACACAAAAGCGCAUGUGCUGUGAGCUCGAUGAGUAGGGCGGGACACGUGGUAUCCUGUCUGAAUAUGGGGGGACCAUCCUCCAAGGCUAAAUACUCCUGACUGACCGAUAGUGAACCAGUACCGUGAGGGAAAGGCGAAAAGAACCCCGGCGAGGGGAGUGAAAAAGAACCUGAAACCGUGUACGUACAAGCAGUGGGAGCNNNNNGGGCGUUAAGUUGCAGGGUAUAGACCCGAAACCCGGUGAUCUAGCCAUGGGCAGGUUGAAGGUUGGGUAACACUAACUGGAGGACCGAACCGACUAAUGUUGAAAAAUUAGCGGAUGACCUGUGGCUGGGGGUGAAAGGCCAAUCAAACCGGGAGAUAGCUGGUUCUCCCCGAAAGCUAUUUAGGUAGCGCCUCGUGAAUUCAUCUCCGGGGGUAGAGCACUGUUUCGGCUAGGGGGCCAUCCCGGCUUACCAACCCGAUGCAAACUGCGAAUACCGGAGAAUGUUAUCACGGGAGACACACGGCGGGUGCUAACGUCCGUCGUGAAGAGGGAAACAACCCAGACCGCCAGCUAAGGUCCCAAAGUCAUGGUUAAGUGGGAAACGAUGUGGGAAGGCCCAGACAGCCAGGAUGUUGGCUUAGAAGCAGCCAUCAUUUAAAGAAAGCGUAAUAGCUCACUGGUCGAGUCGGCCUGCGCGGAAGAUGUAACGGGGCUAAACCAUGCACCGAAGCUGCGGCAGCGANNUGCUGGAGGUAUCAGAAGUGCGAAUGCUGACAUAAGUAACGAUAAAGCGGGUGAAAAGCCCGCUCGCCGGAAGACCAAGGGUUCCUGUCCAACGUUAAUCGGGGCAGGGUGAGUCGACCCCUAAGGCGAGGCCGAAAGGCGUAGUCGAUGGGAAACGGGUUAAUAUUCCCGUACUUGGUGUUACUGCGAAGGGGGGACGGAGAAGGCUAUGUUGGCCGGGCGACGGUUGUCCCGGUUUAAGCGUGUAGGUGUGUGUUCCAGGUAAAUCCGGUUCACUUUAACACUGAGGCGUGACGACGAGGCACUACGGUGCUGAAGCAACAAAUGCCCUGCUUCCAGGAAAAGCCUCUAAGCAUCAGGUAACAUCAAAUCGUACCCCAAACCGACACAGGUGGUCAGGUAGAGAAUACCAAGGCGCUUGAGAGAACUCGGGUGAAGGAACUAGGCAAAAUGGUGCCGUAACUUCGGGAGAAGGCACGCUGACACGUAGGUGAAGUGAUUUACUCAUGGAGCUGAAGUCAGUCGAAGAUACCAGCUGGCUGCAACUGUUUAUUAAAAACACAGCACUGUGCAAACACGAAAGUGGACGUAUACGGUGUGACGCCUGCCCGGUGCCGGAAGGUUAAUUGAUGGGGUCAGCGCAAGCGAAGCUCCUGAUCGAAGCCCCGGUAAACGGCGGCCGUAACUAUAACGGUCCUAAGGUAGCGAAAUUCCUUGUCGGGUAAGUUCCGACCUGCACGAAUGGCGUAAUGAUGGCCAGGCUGUCUCCACCCGAGACUCAGUGAAAUUGAACUCGCUGUGAAGAUGCAGUGUACCCGCGGCAAGACGGAAAGACCCCGUGAACCUUUACUAUAGCUUGACACUGAACAUUGAGCCUUGAUGUGUAGGAUAGGUGGGAGGCUUUGAAGUGUGGACGCCAGUCUGCAUGGAGCCGACCUUGAAAUACCACCCUUUAAUGUUUGAUGUUCUAACGUGGACCCGUAAUCCGGGUUGCGGACAGUGUCUGGUGGGUAGUUUGACUGGGGCGGUCUCCUCCUAAAGAGUAACGGAGGAGCACGAAGGUUGGCUAAUCCUGGUCGGACAUCAGGAGGUUAGUGCAAUGGCAUAAGCCAGCUUGACUGCGAGCGUGACGGCGCGAGCAGGUGCGAAAGCAGGUCAUAGUGAUCCGGUGGUUCUGAAUGGAAGGGCCAUCGCUCAACGGAUAAAAGGUACUCCGGGGAUAACAGGCUGAUACCGCCCAAGAGUUCAUAUCGACGGCGGUGUUUGGCACCUCGAUGUCGGCUCAUCACAUCCUGGGGCUGAAGUAGGUCCCAAGGGUAUGGCUGUUCGCCAUUUAAAGUGGUACGCGAGCUGGGUUUAGAACGUCGUGAGACAGUUCGGUCCCUAUCUGCCGUGGGCGCUGGAGAACUGAGGGGGGCUGCUCCUAGUACGAGAGGACCGGAGUGGACGCAUCACUGGUGUUCGGGUUGUCAUGCCAAUGGCACUGCCCGGUAGCUAAAUGCGGAAGAGAUAAGUGCUGAAAGCAUCUAAGCACGAAACUUGCCCCGAGAUGAGUUCUCCCUGAGACUUAGAGUCUCCUGAAGGAACGUUGAAGACGACGACGUUGAUAGGCCGGGUGUGUAAGCGCAGCGAUGCGUUGAGCUAACCGGUACUAAUGAACCGUGAGGCUUAACC
rnacentral:rRNA from 1 species